rnacentral:rRNA from 1 species
GACGAACGCUGGCGGCGUGCUUAACACAUGCAAGUCGAACGGAAAGGCCCUGCUUUUGUGGGGUGCUCGAGUGGCGAACGGGUGAGUAACACGUGAGUAACCUGCCCUUGACUUUGGGAUAACUUCAGGAAACUGGGGCUAAUACCGGAUAGGAGCUCCUGCUGCAUGGUGGGGGUUGGAAAGUUUCGGCGGUUGGGGAUGGACUCGCGGCUUAUCAGCUUGUUGGUGGGGUAGUGGCUUACCAAGGCUUUGACGGGUAGCCGGCCUGAGAGGGUGACCGGCCACAUUGGGACUGAGAUACGGCCCAGACUGCUACGGGAGGCAGCAGUGGGGAAUAUUGCACAAUGGGCGGAAGCCGGAUGCAGGAACGCCGCGUGCGGGAUGACGGCCUUCGGGUUGGAAACCGCUUUCGCCUGUGACGAAGCGUGAGUGACGGUAAUGGGUAAAGAAGCACCGGCUAACUACGUG